rnacentral:rRNA from 1 species
AUUGAACGCUGGCGGCAUGCCUUACACAUGCAAGUCGAACGGCAGCAUGGAAGAGCUUGCUCUUCUGAUGGCGAGUGGCGAACGGGUGAGUAAAGCAUCGGAACGUACCGUGUAAUGGGGGAUAACGUAGCGAAAGUUACGCUAAUACCGCAUACGACCUGAGGGUGAAAGCAGGGGAUCGCAAGACCUUGCGUUAUACGAGCGGCCGAUGUCAGAUUAGCUAGUUGGUGAGGUAAGGGCUAACCAAGGCGACGAUCUGUAGCGGGUCUGAGAGGAUGAUCCGCCACACUGGGACUGAGACACGGCCCAGACUCCUACGGGAGGCAGCAGUGGGGAAUUUUGGACAAUGGGGGCAACCCUGAUCCAGCCAUGCCGCGUGAGUGAAGAAGGCCUUCGGGUUGUAAAGCUCUUUCGGCCGGGAAGAAAUCGCACAGGCUAAUACUCUGUGUGGAUGACGGUACCGGCAUAAGAAGCACCGGCUAACUACGUGCCAGCCGCCGCCGUAA